UCUGGGCCUCUGUCCUCAGUGCUGCCACCACUCCAGCCUCUGCUCUGCUCUCCUGCAGGCUUGCAGCUGUACCACUGUGUUGUCCAGAGCACUGGAUGGAGCUCUUUAUAUAGAGUCAAUAGCAACGUAUUGCCACCCACAUGUAGUGAGCUAACCGACCAGGGCCAGCAUGAUAUUAGAGAGAGCUGGGAGGACAACUUCUAAACACUUGUUGGAGGAAUCAAUAAAUGACAUGAAUCAUUUUCUCCAGCCGAGUUUGCUUGAGCCAUUUACACUCAGUUCGCUUCGAUAGGGCAGUGAUUCUCAGUGUGGGAAUGGAAGAACAUUCCCACUAGGAGAUAUAUCAGGACAAUCUGGAGUUAAAUUAUCCCCCCAUCCUUGGUUGAAACAUACUGGGAUGGGAAAAUAUUUUUUGAGAAUCAGUAGGCUAGCGUUAGUAAGGAAUCUCAUAAGCAGAUGGCCCCAGCAUUCAUUUCCCCUUUCCCUAGGAACAUUUGGAGAUCCACUUUUUUUUUUUCUCAUUGUCCAACUACUUGUUUAUGGUGGAGCUUUAUCUUCAGCUUGACGUGAGGACAGCAUGUGACCCAAAUUUAGAUCAAGGAACAGAUUGUUUCCCCCAGAUUAUGGUGAUUGUUUCUGGAGUGGGCACAUGGCUCGAGCCAGUCAUGUCAGAGUAAAUCUUAGGGCUACGAGAAAAGGCUCUGGCUUUUUACACUGAACUUGAACCUGGAAAAAUGGAAAAUGAGCUGUAGCAACAAUAUUGCCCAUGAGAGUUCCUCCUGGAGCUGAAAAAGAACCACCCGAGGAGCUUGAGAAUGAAUGCAACCCGAGGAAGUCGGACCUCAGAGGGGGAAGACCACUCUCCAUGAUACUGCUUGAGAAAUGAAUUCAGCAGUGCUUGAAGCCAGACUAACUCUUGAUCAUUUUAGUAUGUGAUCAGUAAGUAAUCUAGCUGAAAGAGUUUUAAUUAACAGGAGUAGAGACUGAGAUACGCUAACUGGUAUUUAAGCUGGUUGCCCAGGAACCUCUAGGUCAGAUCCUGGGGUGCUGUACUCAAAGCUUUCUCAGCUGGGUGCUGCUCUGGGAGUGAACCCAGGUGUAGUUGCUUGACUGCUGUUACUUGGUGGGAUAAAUCACUGGGAUAGUCCUGGGGCCAAAAAUCACAUAGGUGCCAAUGUGACUUCCACAUUACACUGCAGUCUUUCCCCUGAUUUACCUACUGCUCCCUUAUGAGUGAAUAUGAUACACAAAAGCAUAUGUGCAGCAUAACAGAUUGUAUAUAUUCUUUGCAGUGUAUGCAAAUAUACACAUGCAUAUAUAUGUAAAUAUAUGCAAGUUUAUUUUUAUAUGCAUAGGGUGGUUUUGAAUGGAAACACCAAAACUAGCAACAAGACUUCCUUAAGGGAGGGAAAUCAAGCAUCUAGGAGAUGAGGUAGGAGGGAGAUGGUUCACUGUAUGCCUUCGUUAUGUUUUGAUUAUUCUAUCAUUUAAACAGUAACUUAAAUCAUUAAAAAACUGUUUAAAAAUUGAA